UACGUAGGUGACCAGCGUUGUCCGGAUUUACUGGGCGUAAAGAGCGCGCAGGCGGUCGUUCAAGUCGAGUGUGAAAGCCCCCGGCUCAACUGGGGAGGGUCAUUCGAUACUGAUCGACUCGAAGGCAGGAGAGGGAAGCGGAAUUCCCGGUGUAGUGGUGAAAUGCGUAGAUAUCGGGAGGAACACCAGUGGCGAAGGCGGCUUCCUGGUCUGUAACUGACGCUGAGGCGCGAAAGCGUGGGGAGCAAACAGG
rnacentral:rRNA from 1 species